CCUACGGGAGGCAGCAGUGAGGAAUAUUGGUCAAUGGACGCAAGUCUGAACCAGCCAUGCCGCGUGCAGGAAGACGGCUCUAUGAGUUGUAACCUGCUUUUGUACGAGGGUAAACGCAGAUACGUGUAUCUGUCUGACAGUAUCGUACGAUUAAGGAUCGGCCAACUCCGUGCCAGCAGCCGCGGUAAUACGGAGGAUUCAAGCGUUAUCCGGAUUUAUUGGGUUUAAAGGGUGCGUAGGCGGUCGGAUAAGUUAGAGGUGAAAUCCCGAGGCUCAACUUCGGAAUUGCAUCUGAUACUGUUCGGCCAGAGAGUAGGUGCGGUAGGCGGAAUGUAUGGUGUAGCGGUGAAAUGCUUAGAGAUCAUACAGAACACCGAUUGCGAAGGCAGCUUACCAGGCUACUUCUGACGUUGAGGCAUGAAAGCGUGGGGAGCAAACAGGAUUAGAUACCCUUGUAGUC
rnacentral:rRNA from 1 species